AGCUACAAUCCCGAGAGCUCCCACGUGUCAGGGGUGCGCAGACGGUAGGCGCGGGGUGCAGGACUCCAAUUAUCAAUUCAGCCGAGCCCAGCGCUGGUAAAGGGGGCGUUUAGCUCGCCCGUUUCCUCCCUCCUCAAUCCCCACACAGUCAGUUUCUCGGUCCAAGUUUUACUGGUGCGGCCCAGCCCUACCGAGAGUACCCGAAUACACGUCUGCAGAGGACGCGGGCAUUGGGCCGGAGAUGCCGCCCGCCUCUCCGGGCCUGCGAGUGGGCUGGCGGAUACCGGAGUCCCUGAGGUCACCGGCGGAGAUGAUAAUUUGAUGUGAUAGAAGAUGUGCGAAAAUGAAAUCAUCAUUUAGUUUGGAAACAACCUCAGUGUCCAUCAAUAAGAAAAAGAACUAUGGAAAGCCAUCCUAUAAAACCCUCUGCAAUUUAGAAAA